AUUGUUAAACUGCAGAGAAUGGUGGGGACUCCCAGUGGACAUUUACCUGGCUAGACCCUCUGCACACGUCCACGCAAAGCUGCAGUCUGGCUGCCAAAGCACUUCCGUGUUGGAAAGCAGUCUGUAGGAGCCCUGUUCCUCACCACCUCCCAUCACUGUGACGUCGUGGGCACACCCAGCUCGCCAGGGGUGCAGCAGACUAGAUUUGACAAGUGGAGACUUUUUAAUAGUGUGGCCCAGUGCCCUGAGGGCCCGGGAUGGCGACCCUCACUUACCACCGCAGCUUCCACCGGUCAAGCACAUACCUGCUACUUGCUGGGGGUUUAGCCGGUGAUCAGUCAGAUCCAUUGCUUUUGGCAGGAGUGACAUAUAUCAAUGCCAGCGAGGACAGGACAGAGAAAACUGCUCAUCAAAUGGCCAGAAAUUCCUGAAGCCCAAGGAAGGGCAGCCCAGUUUCCAGACAGACGUUGGUCCCAGCAGACGUUUGUCCCAGCCUCACAAUCGACCUCUAGGAAUCCUGGGUAAGCAAAGACAAGCGUGUGGCAGGGCACGCAGCAACUGUCCCACAGACUUUCCCAGACUUUGCUCAUCAGGGAAUUAGGACAACAGUAACUUAACAACAGGGGUUGGUCUCAA